rnacentral:misc_RNA from 1 species
UCACGUAUCCACGUACAAACCACUGUGAACUGUUCUCCCUUUCGGAGGUGCUGGGUUUGGCUAGAUCAAUAUCGCUUCGCUGUCGUGAUAGAAGUGUGGUCUAGCCGUUCCUGAACUCGCUUCAGGACGCCUGUAUCUUUGAAAGCGGUUAUUAUCACGCAACCUUAAACUUUAUUAACCCCUUUAACCUUUAUGAACUGAAAUUAAGCUUGAUGCGAAGGAGUGCCUCGGCAUUCUUGAAGUCAAGUCUUUAUUACGAAACUAAGAA